AGAAUUGAUCUAAGAUGGAUAUCAAAGACCCUGAAAUGUCUUAUCUACUAUUCAGAAGGGGGAACAAAAGAGUUCAGAUGAUUGACAAAGUUACAGUUAUAAGGGUCUGGUUAACACCUGCCUUAGGGUAAAAGAGAGAAGAUGCAGAUGGAAGAUGGAAAUGUGUGUUUUACAUGGUUACCAUGGAGGGCAAGGUUCUUACUGCAAGGAAAGAUGUGAUCAGCACUCCUAGUCUAAUUUCAGCUUUGAUACUGACUCACUUGGUGACCUUGGACAAGUCACUUCACCUCUUUGUGCCUCCGUUUCCAUGUCUAGAAAAUGUGACUAGUAAUUCUUGCCGACCUCCCACAGAGCAUGAAAAUCCUGUGAAUGCAUUGUAUUUGAAAGACAUCAGACUGGCAGCUCUGGAGACUGAAGUCUGUUCAUCUGUGGAGCAGAUACUGCACAAGAAGCAAAGAGGAAGCUUCCCCCACCAUCACCUCUCAAUCCAGAUUUGGAGGGACCCCAACAGUCAAUGUCUCAGCUGGGUUUGUUAGUUUGGACUGGGCACAUAAGUCACAUGCUAUAUUCUCUGUUCCCUGAUUGGAUGAACACAACCCUUAGUCAUGUUUCUGGUGACAUUCUUGUGAUUAUGAGUUCAACAUUUGCUUUUCUGAGAAUAUGCUCUAAGGCCUGCUUAAAAUUUGCUAUUUCUGCAAGUGCUCCUGCCAAUAAACAAGGGUACUGGAAUCAUUUUGGAAAGCUACACAAAGGGACUGUGGACACACGCAAAGCAACUUCACAACAUGUCGCAGCAGAACACUUUGGGAGGUGUUCUCCACCCCAUAGUCAAGCGCCACAGGAUGAAUAGAUAAAUCACUGGAUUAAAAAGCAGAAAAUGGAAGUAAAAUAUUGAAGGAUAAGGCUCUGUAAGUAAAAUCCCUAACCAUUUUGUUCAACUGUUCUAGUUUACGAGACAAAGCCCCCCAAAGCCUGCCUGAAGCAUUAGCAAGAUCAUGUUCUACUCUUUGAGAUACGCCAGAAGCCUCGACAACUCACAGCUAGUACCCCACAAAAGCACCGACCGACUCGAUCUCCCCGGCACAGAAUUUAGAGUGAGAAGCAACUCACAAUCCAAUUCUCUCCCAACUCCAUUGGAUUAGCCCUGAAGACGUUGGCUGUAUCUGACCCCAGCAUCUCCCAUACAGAAAAGACAGCUGGACUUUUUAAUGGAGCGUGGUCUGCUUAAACCCCAGGCUCUAUUGUUUGUGCUCACACUUGCUUGUGAAGCGGGCAGUGGCAGUGCAGGCCACCCCAGCAGAGAGCCUCAUUGUUAGGGUAUGGAAAGGGAGCUUAGCGCACCAUUGAGAAGGGAGUCUAGAAAGGAUGAGCCAAAGAUGAAAGUCCUAGCCCAGGUGGUGGGAGACCCAGGUUCGAUUCUUGUUUUGAUCCUGGGCAAGUCGGUCCCUCAUCUAUAAAAUGGGGGUAUUAGCACUUUUCUACCUCCCUGGGGUGUUGUGAGGAUACAUACAGUAAAGGUUAUGAGGCGCCCAGAUACUAAAGCAAUAGGGGGCCACAUGAGUACCUUAGACAGAACCCUGAAGAACCAAUAUUGGGACACAUAGCAGUAACGAGGAUCCAUUGCUAUUUGCAGUGUGUGGAGAGAACAAAAAAGUUGAUAAGCAACUGGCAUCAGCGCGUGAUUAUAAAGCACUCGCUGACCCUUUUUACCAGCCCUUCCAGUCCCCGGAGCUCAGAUUCUCAGGCUAUUUGACUCCAGUUAGCCUAGAGGGAGUGAGAAUCUAACUGUCAAACGAUAGGGAUUGGCUUGAAAACCAGUCACAGCAGCAGAGAGAAAUAAAUCUGAGGAGCAGCAAGAUGAGAGCAGUGGCAUGGUGUCAUAUCAGCAUCGCCGGUUCCGCAAGACACUGGGGUCAGUUGACAAGCUUGCUAAUGCAGAGUGCAAGAUUAAUUGGCUUUGGUCAGCCCGGGCUUCACUAUCUGAAUAUCUUAUCAGUAACGUAAAUGAUUAUGCUAUGCAGAGAAAUACCACAAUAGUCUCCGUGUCUCCUUUUAUACUCGUCUCUUUUUAAACAAGCCUUUAUCUAAAUGCAAAUGUGAUUUCAGCUUUCUGAUUAGGACAUUAUACAGUCAUCCAUUGCAGAAAAGCACAAUUAGUGGAUUAUUUUAUUUCUGACUCAACAGUUCUUUGUUUAGAAAGUUCGUUUGUGGGGC